UACGGAGGGUGCAAGCGUUAUCCGGAUUUACUGGGUUUAAAGGGUGCGUAGGUGGAUUAGUAAGUCAGUGGUGAAAUCUCCGGGCUUAACCCGGAAACUGCCAUUGAUACUAUUAGUCUUGAAUAUCCUGGAGGUGAGCGGAAUAUGUCAUGUAGCGGUGAAAUGCUUAGAUAUGACAUAGAACACCAAUUGCGAAGGCAGCUCACUAAGCCAAUUAUUGACGCUGAGGCACGAAAGCGUGGGUAGCGAACAGG
rnacentral:rRNA from 1 species